GUCGAACGGAAACAUGUCUAGCUUGCUAGAUGAUGUCGAGUGGCGGACGGGUGAGUAAUGCUUGGGAACUUGCCUUUGCGAGGGGGAUAACAGUUGGAAACGACUGCUAAUACCGCAUAAUGUCUACGGACCAAACAGGGCUUCGGCUCUGGCGCAAAGAGAGGCCCAAGUGAGAUUAGCUAGUUGGUGAGGUAAAGGCUCACCAAGGCAACGAUCUCUAGCUGUUCUGAGAGGAAGAUCAGCCACACUGGGACUGAGACACGGCCCAGACUCCUACGGGAGGCAGCAGUGGGGAAUAUUGCACAAUGGGGGAAACCCUGAUGCAGCCAUGCCGCGUGUGUGAAGAAGGCCUUCGGGUUGUAAAGCACUUUCAGUUGUGAGGAAAAGUUAGUAGUUAAUACCUGCUAGCCGUGACGUUAACAACAGAAGAAGCACCGGCUAACUCCGUGCCAGCAGCCGCGGUAAUACGGAGGGUGCGAGCGUUAAUCGGAAUUACUGGGCGUAAAGCGCACGCAGGCGGUUUGUUAAGCUAGAUGUGAAAGCCCCGGGCUCAACCUGGGACGGUCAUUUAGAACUGGCAGACUAGAGUCUUGGAGAGGGGAGUGGAAUUCCAGGUGUAGCGGUGAAAUGCGUAGAUAUCUGGAGGAACAUCAGUGGCGAAGGCGACUCCCUGGCCAAAGACUGACGCUCAUGUGCGAAAGUGUGGGUAGCGAACAGGAUUAGAUACCCUGGUAGUCCACACCGUAAACGCUGUCUACUAGCUGUUUGUGACUUUAAGUCGUGAGUAGCGAAGCUAACGCGAUAAGUAGACCGCCUGGGGAGUACGGCCGCAAGGUUAAAACUCAAAUGAAUUGACGGGGGCCCGCACAAGCGGUGGAGCAUGUGGUUUAAUUCGAUGCAACGCGAAGAACCUUACCUACACUUGACAUGUUGAGAAGUUACCAGAGAUGGUUUCGUGCCUUCGGNAACUCAA
rnacentral:rRNA from 1 species